rnacentral:rRNA from 1 species
CUCCAAAAGAGUAACGGAGGCUUUCAAAGGUACCCUCAGCACGCUUGGUAACCGUGCGUAGAGUGCAAUGGCAUAAGGGUGCUUGACUGUGAGACCAACAAGUCGAUCAGGUACGAAAGUAGGACAUAGUGAUCCGGUGGUUCCAUAUGGAAGGGCCAUCGCUCAAAGGAUAAAAGGUACUCCGGGGAUAACAGGCUGAUCACUCCCAAGAGCUCACAUCGACGGAGUGGUUUGGCACCUCGAUGUCGGCUCGUCACAUCCUGGGGCUGGAGUAGGUCCCAAGGGUUCGGCUGUUCNNGAGACAGUUCGGUCCCUAUCUGUGGUGGGCGUUGGAAUUUUGAGAAGCGCUGUCUUUAGUACGAGAGGACCGAGAUGGACAUACCUCUAGUGUACCUGUUAUGGCGCCAGCUGUAUCGCAGGGUAGCUACGUAUGGAAUGGAUAAGUGCUGAAAGCAUCUAAGCACGAAGCCUGCUUCAAGAUGAGAAUUCCUUUAAGGGUCGUUGUAGACUACGACGUUGAUAGGCUGCAGGUCUAAAGCCAGUAAUGGCAAAGCCGAGCAGUACUAAUUACCCGUAGCUUUCUAUU